GUGGGGAAUAUUGGACAAUGGGCGAAAGCCUGAUCCAGCCAUGCCGCGUGUGUGAAGAAGGUCUUCGGAUUGUAAAGCACUUUAAGUUGGGAGGAAGGGCAGUAAGUUAAUACCUUGCUGUUUUGACGUUACCGACAGAAUAAGCACCGGCUAACUCCGUGCCAGCAGCCGCGGUAAUACGAAGGGUGCAAGCGUUAAUCGGAAUUACUGGGCGUAAAGCGCGCGUAGGUGGUUUUGUAAGUUGGAGGUGAAAUCCCCGGGCUCAACCUGGGAACUGCCUCCAAAACUGCAUGACUAGAGUACGGGAGAGGGUAGUGGAAUUUCCUGUGUAGCGGUGAAAUGCGUAGAUAUAGGAAGGAACACCAGUGGCGAAGGCGACUACCUGGACUGAUACUGACACUGAGGUGCGAAAGCGUGGGGAGCAAACAGGAUUAGAUACCCCGGUAGUCC
rnacentral:rRNA from 1 species